rnacentral:rRNA from 1 species
GUGCACCAGUCGCGAAACCUCCGCAAUGCGGGAAACCGUGACGGGGUCACCCCGAGUGCCACCCGAUGAGGGUGGCUUUUCCCCGGUCUAAAAAGCCGGGGGCAAUAAGCGGGGGGCGAAGUCUGGUGUCAGCCGCCGCGGUAAUACCAGCCCGCGAGUGGUCGGGACGUUUAUUGGGCCUAAAGCGUCCGUAGCCGGCACGGUAAGUCCCUCCUUAAAUCCACGGGCUCAACCCGUGGGCUGGGAGGGAUACUGCCGGGCUAGGGGGCGGGAGAGGCCGAGGGUACUCCCGGGGUAGGGGCGGAAUCCGUUAAUCCCGGGAGGACCACCAGUGGCGAAGGCGCUCGGCUGGAACGCGCCCGACGGUGAGGGACGAAAGCUGGGGGAGCAAAGGGGAUUAGAUACCCCCGUAGU